UACGUAGGGCGCAAGCGUUGUCCGGAAUUAUUGGGCGUAAAGAGCUCGUAGGCGGCUUGUCACGUCGGGUGUGAAAGCCCGGGGCUUAACCCCGGGUCUGCAUUCGAUACGGGCUAGCUAGAGUGUGGUAGGGGAGAUCGGAAUUCCUGGUGUAGCGGUGAAAUGCGCAGAUAUCAGGAGGAACACCGGUGGCGGAGGCGGAUCUCUGGGCCAUUACUGACGCUGAGGAGCGAAAGCCAGGGGAGCAAACGGG
rnacentral:rRNA from 1 species